AGCUAAUAGAUACCCGGGUAGUCCACGCCCUAAACGAUGUCUACUAGUUGUUGGUGGAGUAAAAUCCAUGAGUAAACGCAGCUAAACGCGUGAAGUAGACCGCCUGGGGAGUACGGUCGCAAGAUUAAAACUCAAAGGAAUUGACGGGGGCCCGGCACAAGCGGUGGAUUAUGUGGAUUAAAUUCGAUGCAACGCGAAAAACCUUACCUGGCCUUGACAUGCCACUAACGAAGCAGAGAUGCAUUAGGUGCCCGUAAGGGAAAGUGGACACAGGUGCUGCAUGGCUGUCGUCAGCUCGUGUCGUGAGAUGUUGGGUUAAGUCCCGCAACGAGCGCAACCCUUGCCAUUAAUUGCCAUCAUUUAGUUGGGCACUUUAAUGGGACUGCCGGUGACAAACCGGAGGAAGGUGGGGGAUGACGUCAAGUCCUCAUGGCCCUUAUGGCCAGGGCUUCACACGUAAUACAAUGGUCGGUACAGAGAGUUGCCAACCCGCGAGGGGAGCUAAUCUCAGAAAGCCGAUCGUAGUCC
rnacentral:rRNA from 1 species